UACGUAGGGGGCAAGCGUUGUCCGGAAUCAUUGGGCGUAAAGAGCGUGUAGGCGGCCAGAUAAGUCCGCUGUGAAAUCUCGAGGCUCAACUUCGAGCUGUCGGAUGGAACUGUCUGGCUAGAGUCCGGAAGAGGAGAAUGGAAUUCCUGGUGUAGCGGUGAAAUGCGCAGAUAUCAGGAAGAACACCCGUGGCGAAGGCGGUUCUCUGGGACGGUACUGACGCUGAGACGCGAAAGCGUGGGGAGCGAACAGG
rnacentral:rRNA from 1 species